ACUCCUACGGGAGGCAGCAGUGGGGAAUUUUGGACAAUGGGGGAAACCCUGAUCCAGCCAUGCCGCGUGAGUGAAGAAGGCCUUCGGGUUGUAAAGCUCUUUCAGCCGGAACGAAACGGUCACGGCUAAUAUCCGUGACUAAUGACGGUACCGGAAGAAGAAGCACCGGCUAACUACGUGCCAGCAGCCGCGGUAAU
rnacentral:rRNA from 1 species